rnacentral:misc_RNA from 1 species
GAUAUUUGGAACGAGGCAUCAGGUGGGCCAAUUGGACCAUACUGCUGAAUUUGGAAGCAUUAUUAUAUGUGCAGAAAAACUGCUUUCUGCCAGUUCAUUGUGGAGGCAAGAGACGUCAACAGAAAUCCUCUGUAAACAGUUUCUUCCAGUAGGGGAGUGAUGAGGCAGUAAACAAAAACACAGGCAGUUUUCGAUAUGUUGCCGCUGUGAAGAAUCUCCUUCAAAAUAGGGUUGUUCACACUCUUGGCCUCAGCUAAGAUAUCCACAAGGAAUGAUGUAAGGAACACCAAUAAAAUUAAAGACCCAAAACCCAGCGCUGAAGCUAACACCCAAUUCCUCUCCUUUGGUAACUUGUUAGAUUUGAAGAAGCUCAUUAACUUAUGUUCUGGCUUGGCAGUGGUUCUAAGUAGAAGCAGAGCUCCAAUGAGUUCUAAAAUUUGAAUGACAAGCAGUGAUAAGGCUUCAGUUUGUGGAUCAAGCACAGGUUGGUGCAAUAGAUAGGCAACUAUAGACAAUCCUCCAAUACCCAAAGGAAUGUGCAAAUUAAACAUAUACAUUGCCAUAGUACUCCAAAUACUUCCUCUUUCCCAUGUAAUAUCAGAUGAAAGCGCUGAAAAGCCCUCAGUGGGAUUAUCAGUAAUCUCCUCUUUGAUGCAGUAACAGCGGAGAGAUGAUUUGAAGCUAAGACUAGGCUCACGAAUAGAGAAACAAUAGGCGGGCUUUCGAUGCAGAAUUAGCGCGGGUUCGGCACCCACGGUUGGCCGAAGCGCCAGAACCAUAUCCCCUCUCUCUCUCUCUCUCUCUCUCU